CGCCGUUCGUUCAUGCUGUUUUUUCUUGUUUUUACUCGCGUAUUUAAUCUGCCACUUGCUAUAAAAUUACAUACCGCUGGCUGAACCUAGCUGCUGACAGGGGGGGGGGGGGCGAACUCAAAUGGUGCUCCCAAAGUCGGCAAAGUUCCUUAAAUUUCCAUUUUAUUUCAUUGAAUACAGAGGCAAAUUCACGAAUUGCUGAAAAAUAAUUCAGAACGGAUUCACAGAGUUGAAGAUAUGGUGACGAAACUGUGUAACAUGAUUGGUGCGUUCGCUGAUGCUAGCUCACCACAGGUCGUUACCACAUCUUGUCAAGAGAAG